rnacentral:rRNA from 1 species
AUUGAACGCUGGCGGAAUGCUUUACACAUGCAAGUCGAACGGCAGCACGGACUUCGGUCUGGUGGCGAGUGGCGAACGGGUGAGUAAUGUAUCGGAACGUGCCCAGUCGUGGGGGAUAACGUAGUGAAAAUUACGCUAAUACCGCAUACGAUCUAUGAAUGAAAGCGGGGGAUCGCAAGACCUCGCGCGAUUGGAGCGGCCGAUAUCAGAUUAGGUAGUUGGUGGGGUAAAGGCCCACCAAGCCAACGAUCUGUAGCUGGUCUGAGAGGACGACCAGCUACACUGGAACUGAGAAACUGUCCAGACUCCUACGGGAGGCAGCAGUGGGGAAUUGUGGACAAUGGGCGAAAGCCGGAUCCAGCCAUUCCGCGUGGAGGAUAAAGGCCCUCGGGUUGGAAACUGCUUUUGUACAGAACGAAAAGGUUUCUACUAAUACUGGGAGCUCAUGACGGUACUGUAAGAAUAAGCACCGGCUAACUACGUGCCAGCAGCCGCCGUAA